UUACGGUUAAUUAGCAUGGGGGCUUAACGAGGCAUGGAAUGAGCACUUUGUGGGGGCGGUUCAUGAGGGGGAAGGUGGUUGGGGGUGGGACUCAUUUGCAUAUAUUAGCAUACGAGGGUGGGAUUGGGGUGUUAAUUAGUAUAUGCUAAUGAGGAUGGGAUCGGCCAUAGGGAAGAAGUCGUUAAUUAGCGGCCUUCACGAGCUGCGGAUCGUUACUAUUGAGGCUUCGUGUUGGUUGAAGGCUGGGCUCAUUUGCAUACAUUAGCAUAUGAGGAUCGAGAGUGCAUACGAGGAUCGAGAAUGCUCGCUAAUUAGCAUUGCUAAUGAGGACGGGAUCAGCACUAACGAAGACUUCGUUAAUUAGCGACCUUAACGAGUUGUCCAUUGUUACCAUUGAGGCUCUUCAGUGAUUGAAUGCUGGGCUCAUUUGCAUAAAUUAGCAUACGAGGAUCAAGAAGGGUCGCUAAUUAAGGCCACUAAUGAGGUUCGGAUUGACGAUGAUGGAGACUUCGUUAAUUAGCAGCCUUGUUAAUUAGCGGCCUUGACGAGCUGUGGAUUGCUAUCAUGGAGGCCUCGCAUUGGUUGAAAGCUGAGCUCAUUUGCAUGAAUUAGCAUACGGGGAUCAAGAAAGGAUGUUAAUUAGAGCUGCUAAUGAAGAUUGGAUCAGCGCUAACGAAGAGUUUGUUAAUUAGGAACCUUAAUGAGCAAUCCAUCGUUACCUUCGAGGCUUUUCAGUGGUUGAAAGCUGGGCUCAUUUGCAUAAAUUAGCAUACGAGGAUCAAGAAAGGACGUUAAUUGGCGCUGCUAAUGAGGAUCCAAUCAGCGCUAACGAAGACUUCGUUAAUUAGCGACCUUAAUGAGCUGUGGAUCGUUACCAUGGAGGUCUCGGAUUGGUUGAAAGCUGAGCUCAUUUGCAUAAAUUAGCAUACGAGGAUCAAGAAGGGGCAUUAAUUAAGGCUGCUAAUGAAGAUUGGAUCAGCGCUAACGAAGAGUUUGUUAAUUAGGAACCUUAAUGAGCAAUCCAUCGUUACCUUGGAGGCUUUUCAGUGGUUGAAAGCUGGGCUCAUUUGCAUAAAUUAGCAUACGAGGAUCAAGAAAGGACGUUAAUUGGCGCUGCUAAUGAGGAUCCAAUCAGUGCUAACGAAGACUUCGUUAAUUAGCGACCUUAACGAGCUGCGGAUCGUUACCAUGGAGGCCACGGAUUGGUUGAAAGCUGGGCUCAUUUGCAUAAAUUAGCAUACGAGGAUCAAGAAGCGUCGUUAAUUAGAGCUGCUAAUGAGGAUCCGAUCAGCGCUAAUGAAGAUCUUGUUAAUUAGCGGAUGAAGGCUUCGUUAAUGAGCGGCUUUGACGAGCUGCGGGUCGUUACCAUGGAGGCUUCUCAUUGGUCGAAAGCUGGGCUCAUUUGCAUACAUUUGCAUAGGAGGAUCACGAAAGCUCGUUCCUGAGCACUAAUUAACGGGGCUUAAUGAGGCUGCUUAAUGAGCUCGGCGCAGCGGUAACGAAGGCCGCCUUAAUUAGCGAGCGCGGCUCCCGGCGUCGGCUUCCCAUUGGUCGAGAGCCCCCCUCAUUAGCAUAUAUGAAUGGUUAAUGAGGGGGCGGUGUUGAAUGGGUUUCAAUGGGGGCCAAUGGGGUUUAAUGGGGGUUAAUGGGGUCUUAUAGGGUUUAAUGGGGUUUUAAUGGGGUUUAAUGGGGUCUUAUAGGGGUUUAAUGGGGGUUAAUGGGGUCUUAUAGGGUUUUAAUGGGGGUUAAUGGGGUUUUAAUGGGGUGUUAUGGGGUUUAAUGGGGGUUAAUGGGGUCUUAAAGGGUUUUAAUGGGGGUUAAUGGGGUUUUAAUGGGGUUUAAUGGGGUCUUAUAGGGUUUUAAUGGCGGUUAAUGGGGUUUUAUGGGGUUUUAAUGGGGGUUAAUGGGGUCUUACAGGGUUUUAAUGGGGGUUUAUGGGAUUUUAAUGGGGGUUAAAGGGGUUUAAUGGGGGUUAAUGGGGUCUUAUAGAGUUUAAUGGGGUUUUAUGGGGUCUUACAGGGUUUUAAUGGGGGUUAAUGGGGUUUUAAUGGGGUCUUAUGGGGUUUAAUGGGGGUUAAUGGGGUCUUAUAGGGUUUUAAUGGGGGUUAAUGGGGUUUUAAUGGGGUUUAAUGGGGUCUUAUAGGGUUUUAAUGGCGGUUAAUGGGGUUUUAAUGGGGUUUAAUGGUGUCCUAUAGGGUUUUAAUGGGGGUUAAUGGGGUCUUAUAGGGUUUUAAUUAGAUUUAUGGGGUUUUAAUGGGAGUUAAUAGGGGUUUAUGGGGUUUUAAUGGGGUUUUAAUGGGGGUUAAUGAUGUUUUAAUGGGGGUUUAUGGGGUUUUAUGGGGUUUUAUAUGGUUUAAUGGCAGUUUAUGGGGUUUUAUGGGGUUUAAGGGUUUUAAUAGGG
ensembl:lncRNA